rnacentral:lncRNA from 1 species
GUGUCAACUCAUGAGGACCCAGGUGAACCCAGGACGAGUUGGGCUGCUGUGUACUCGACUCAUUUAGGAACCGGGUUGACUCGACGACUCACUCCUUCCGGAAUCGCCGACUUUAGCCCCGCCGUGUCUCCGUCUGGGGUUUGGACAGCUGUGGCUUCGUAUGGGAAAGAAGGGUGGGGUGGGGAAGUGGAAGAACUGAGUACUGAUAUUUAUGUUUUCUUGACUCGUGAUGGGACUCACCGAGUCAAGGUUGUUGAACACGGUGGGUGGCCGUGUUGGGUUGAUGACUCAACUCUAUACUUCCAUAGGAGAAGUGAAGACCAGUGGAUAAGCGUUUACAAAGCAACUUUCCCUAAAGACAAACCCGUUUCUACCGAGUUGGUGACGAUUCAGCGAGUCACACCACCGGGUCUCCAC